rnacentral:rRNA from 1 species
CAGCAGCCACGGGAAUACAGAGGGUGCGAGCGUUAAUCGGAUUUACUGGGCGUAAAGCGUGCGUAGGCGGCUUUUUAAGUCGGAUGUGAAAUCCCUGAGCUUAACUUAGGAAUUGCAUUCGAUACUGGGAAGCUAGAGUAUGGGAGAGGAUGGUAGAAUUCCAGGUGUAGCGGUGAAAUGCAUAGAGAUCUGGAGGAAUACCGAUGGCGAAGGCAGCCAUCUGGCCUAAUACUGACGCUGAGGUACGAAAGCAUGGGGAGCAAACAGGAUUAGAUACCCGAGUAGUCCCUGUCUCUUAUAC